rnacentral:rRNA from 1 species
AUUGAACGCUGGCGGCAGGCCUAACACAUGCAAGUCGAACGAGUGGCGGACGGGUGAGUAAUGUCUGGGAAACUGCCCGAUGGAGGGGGAUAACUACUGGAAACGGUAGCUAAUACCGCAUACCAUCGGAUGUGCCCAGAUGGGAUUAGCUAGUAGGUGGGGUAACGGCUCACCUAGGCGGCGAACCCUAGCUGGGCUGAGAGGAUGACCAGCCACACUGGAACGGUGACAGGGUCCAGACUCCUACGGAGGGCAGCAGUGGGGAAUAUUGCACAAGGGGCGCAAGCCGGAUGCACCCAUGCCGCGUGGUUGAAGAAGGCCUUGGGGUUGUAAAGUACUUUCAGCGAGGAGGCGUUACUCGCAGAAGAAGCACCGGCUAACUCCGUGCCAGCAGCCGCGGUAAUUC